AACGGAGGGGGCAAGUGUUUCUCGCAAUGACUGGGCCUAAAGGGCACGCAGGUGGUUUUCGACAACAGGUAUUUCGGUUAAACACUGCAGGCUAACAACAGGUCUGGAAUAUCUACUAGGAAACUAAGAGUAGUGCUCAGGUCUUUAGAAUUGCUAGCGGAGGGGUGGAAUCCGGCGAGGCUAGUAGGAAUGCUUAUGAGUGAAGGCAAUUUUCUGGAGCUGACUGACGCUCAGGUGCGCAAGCAUGGGGAUCAAAUAGG
rnacentral:rRNA from 1 species